CCUCUCAGCCCCGCACUUCCUCCUUCAGGAUCUCGAUGCGCCGCCGCCCAACCCCACUCCCUCCCUCUGGAUCUCGACACGCCGCCGCCCCCAACCCACUCCUUCCCACGUUGUCCACCGGCGUUCCCCUCACACUCUCACCGCUCAGCCCCUCGGUGGCGGCACCCUCCCCAUCAUGAUCCCCGCUUUCCCUCAAGCGUCGCCUCUCCUUCUCGCUAUCCCCCAACCCCGGCAGUGACCUCGUUUCCCUCAAUAGCCAGAUCCCGCUCACGCUCACAUCGGGCUCCUCAUCAUCCUCCUCGACCUGCUCCACCCGCCCGCGCUCCUCUCCAACUUCCUCCGUGCCGGGGUCCACCACGCCUCCACACAUAGCCUCCUCAACUAGGCCAGGGGCUUCCACUUCCAAUUCCGCACACAGCAGCAACUCCUCCUCCUUCCCCAAUGCUUCCGCCUCCGAUCGAUCCCGCCAGAGCACCACCACCCGCCGACGCCGCCGCGCGGACCGGAGCAGAGCGCCGAUGGAGGUGGUGAAGAGCCUCCUGAAGCCGAAGCCGACACCACGGCAGCAGCUGCACGAGUGGCAGCGCCACCUCCGUAACGAGGGCCGCAACAUCGAGCACCAGAUCCGAGACGUGCAGAAGGAGGAGAAGAAGGUGGAGAAGGCCAUCCGAGACGCCGCCAAGGCGCUGCCAAGGAGCUAGUGCAGUCCAGGAAGGCGGUCAACCACCUCUACAAGAACAAGGCCCGGCUCAACUCCAUCUCCAUGCACCUCGGCAAGAUCAUCGGAUGUUGCGACCGAUGGCCUGAAUAGCAAGAUCGACAUGAAGAUCUUGCUGAAGUGGAUGUGGGGCAGGAGGAUCAUCAAGCUCUCGUGCAAGCAGCGAGGAGCUGCUCUUCGCCUCGCCUUGCCUCGCACAAGCGGCGUCGUCAGUAAGACACGUGGUAUGGGAGCUGGCGCAAGCUCAAGACCCACCGCAGGAACCAGAGGUGGGCUGACAAGGCAUACAAGAAGAGCUACUUGGCCAAUGAGUGGAAGAAACCCUUCGCUGGAUCUAUACAUCAGCUCCCAUGAUAUUGCAUUAGCUAUAAUCUGUACUACUAAAAGAGGAGUAUAAACUAGAGUAAUUUUUUCAGCCGUUAUCUUUGUUUUCUUUUGGGUUGAUGCUCUCCACUGGAGUACAGCUGGGUACUGCAUCUCUUUUUGCAUUCCUUGUUUAGUCAGUGCUUGAACAUUUUUUAAAAGAUGAAUUGGAGUACUCCUAGAGAGCAGUACAUGGAGUAUAGCUGUAACUUCUUGCAGUAUAGUUGUAGCAGUCCAUUAAGAGUAGUUUUGCAUCAGUAGAAUUGGGAGUGUGAUGUGGAGGUAAGAGUGGAGUCUCUACUCUAGAAAGAGGGCUCCGACUCGCUGUUUAGCUCAUUUGAUUUCUGUGGUUUCCAGUUUAGUGUAGGAACACAGAGCAAUGUGGCUAGAGUUUGAUUUUCAGUCGGCAUAGUCUGCCUAUGCUACUGAUUUGUUGCAGGUAAUAAGAAUUUGUAGGUUUAGUAUGAACGUUGCUUAAUCCAUUGGAUGGCCUUUGGCUGGUUUAGUUGGUAUCUAGUCUAGAAUAAAUUAUUUUUCCCAUUUUUUGUUUCCUUGCUGGACAUGUCAUGCAACAAGUGCUGAUGCUGCUGUUUACUACUCCCGCCGUAAAGAAAUAUAAGACCGUUUAGAUCACUACUUUAGUGAUCUAAAUUCUCUUAUAUUUCUUUACAAGAGAGUACAUGGUAUUAUUGCUAGCUAUAUAUAUGCCUGCUACUCAUUGAUGCUCUUGUGGUUAGGAUUCUACACGUCGAAGUGAUGCUUUUGCAUUGUUUUCCUUCCUCAUGCACUUGCAAAAUAUAUGUUAUUCCCUUUUUGAUUUGACCUCAAAAUUUCUGACUCCUCCUAUCCGUGUGCAACAGCGAUGCUUUGGAUUUCAUUCAUGCAGCAGAGGACAAGGGCUUCAUGGCCAAACAGGGCGCAUGGUGCUCGCAAGCGACGAACGGAGGCUGUUCGACAUCGUCUACACAAACCACCAUUGUGAUCUCCUCCCUUUGCUAUGCUACAACCAUGCUCUGUUUCAUGUGUCAGUUAGGAUUUCGAUUUUUUUCGCCGUGGUUGAGUUCUUGCCGACUGUUGCAUUGAUGAUCAAGUGCUGGUGCUUCAUUUUGGCAAUUUGAUUUGCUGCUAGUAAUUAGUAGUAUUAGAGUGCCGUUUGUUUAUUAGGAUGUGGCUGAAACCAUUGGAUGGCCUUCCUGGACAUGUUAUCCAGAAUUAGUACUUGUCCCAUUUUUUGUUUCCUAGCUGGACAUGCUAUGGUUCAAGUGUCGAUGAUGUCUAGUAGUAGUUUGCUAGCUAUAUACCUGCUACUGAUUGAUGCUCUUUUGGUCUCCUGGAAUCAUAUUAUACUA